GCUGGCAAAGACUCUGAAGUGGAGUCUCAGCUGGGAGUAACUAAGAAAGGGGGUGAGGACUUCUGCCUUUUGAAGGGGAAAUAACUCAUAUGCAAACAAGAUGCAAAUAGGAACGCAAAUAAGCGCCUAUGCCCUGGGCGGUCUGCGCUCUAGCACUAGUGUAACGACUGCCACCCCUCCCCCCCGCCGUCCCCCCUUCCGCCCACCUCUCAGGGUUGCUGGGAAAACGUGGGACCCUCUCGAAGAUCAUGACUAUAAUAUCCAGUUUAUUGCGCGCGGCUCCUCAGAUCACUUCACUAUGACCUCUCUCCUGCAUCUGCCUUUCGCACACCAUUGAGGGUCUUAUAUCCUAUGUAAUCAGCUAGGACUUCUGGAUAUCAGGACCCUCCUCCUCCUCUUGCUGCCUGCUUGGGGUCACUUCCAGUUCUGCCUUGACUCCUUCCCCAUUUUACCCAGCCCAUUCCCCUACCCCUUGUGGCCACUAGAGGGCCCCGGGGCCCCAGGGGUAGAUGAGACCUUACCCAUCCUUCACUAUGUUGGCACUCUGCUCCCCACGCACCACCUCUAGUGAAUUCCUGAGAGUAGUUUGGACACUCAAAACCUGAGCUUACUUUAGUUGGGAAGAGAACAUUGCAAGGCAGCUGCCGCAUCUUUUUCCCUUCUAGAGAAGUGGGGAGGUGUAGGUCAGGGAACCAUCUCCUGGCCUGUGUGGAUUAGGUUAAAAGGACGGAGCUGGGGGUUGAGGUGGAAGUGAGAAAGCAUGGAGUGGGUGCAGAAUGGGGGUGAUAGUCCCCUCCACACUUUUGCUUACCUGGUCCUGCCUCCCAGGCCACUUAGGCCACCAUCCCAAGCACCAGUUCAGAAGAGGCUAACUGAGAAAGGCCCUGAAUCUGAGAUGAGAAAAUCUGGGUUCACUAAAUGACUAUCCUACUGCAGUGUGCUGUGGGCAUGACUUUGGAUGGGUCACUUCACCUCUCUGGGCCUGUUUCCUUCACAUUAACACGGGAUAAUUACCCUUGUCCUGCCUACUUUUGAAGUAGAUUUUGUAAAGCUCAAAGCACUGUGUAGUGUGAAAAGGGAUCUCAGAGUGGUACAUGAGGUUUUUGUUAUUCUCCCCAUUCCUCUCUGCCAUCUUUUCACUUUUAGGGCUCUCUUUCCAGCUCUGACACCCUCCUUGCAUCACUGGCAGUCUCUCUGCUUUUCUCCCUCCUUCAGCUCCCCACCACUUGUCCCAUAACAUGCCACAGCCCUGGGCCCUGCCUUCUUCUACCUACCAUUUCCCCAGUGGUCUUUGCCAGACAUCCCCUCCCCUGGCACUAGGCCCUUGGGUUCAGAACUCUCAGACUCUGGGUCCAUCUCCAGGCACUGCCCCGGCUUGGCAGGAGCAGGGCCUAAGAAAGGAAAAGGCCAGAGCUUGAGUCAGGGAAGGGCUGGAGCUGGCCAAGCAGGGUACAGGCUAUGAGCGGGAGAGGAGCACCAGAUUCAGACGGGAAGAUGAAUUCUGUUUCCACCUUCAUCACUACCCCCUGUCUGGUUGGAUUCAGGACCUUACCCCUUCUCCCUGCUGCGCCCUGGGGCGAGGGUGGGGCAUGGGACCAGGGAAGAGCACUGACCUGCAUUUUGUGGAUGCCUAAAGAAGGGUGCUGAGCUGCCAGGGAUAAGAAAUAGAGUACUAUGCUGAUGUGAAAAAGAAUGAGCGAGCUUUAAAUGUACUGAUGUGGAAUCCUGCACAAGGUAUAUUAAGGGAAAAAAGCAAGGGGCAGAACAGUGUGUAGAGUAUGUCAUCAACCAGAAGAACAACCAUAUGCAGAAUCCAGACACUCCUCACCGCUGCUAUUGCUAGAAGCCAGCUCUGAGCCACCAACAUGUCUGGCCCAGAUUGUGUCCAUUGCCUCCUAAUAGUUCUCUCCUAUUCUACCCUGGCUCCCCUAAGGUCUAUUUUCAACCUAACAUAGGAGCCUUUUAAAUAAAAUAUCAGCUCAUGCUCGACACCCUGCAGUAGUUCCUCAUUUCACUCAGCAUAAAAGCUCAAGUUCUUACCAAGGCUUCCUAGACCCUCUGGGACCUGCCUCCACGCCCAACCCCAGCUCGACUUUUUCUUUUUUCCAUAGCAC
rnacentral:lncRNA from 1 species